rnacentral:rRNA from 1 species
AUAUACGACCAUUUUACGUUGAGAGCACCGGUUCUCGUCCGAUUACCGAAGUUUAGCAACAUCGAGCCUAGUUAGUACUUAGAUAGGUGACCGCUUGGGAAACCUAGGUGCUUUAAGCA